rfam:Felis catus isolate Cinnamon breed Abyssinian chromosome B4, whole genome shotgun sequence.
GCCUGGGUGGCUAAGUCAGUUAAGUGUCUGACUUCAGCUCAGGUCAUGAUCUCAUGGUUUGUGGGUUCAAGCCUCAUGUCAGGCU